CGUAACUUACGAUCUAGCUGUAGAGUAAGUGCCCCACAGGUUGAUAUCCAGGCUACGAAUGAGCAUGCUGAGAAUCAACUUAAUGAAGAUGUUCCUGAAGAGCCCAAAAAAAAUGUUCGAGGACCUACUACAAAGGCUGAUAUCUAUGCAAGGCAAAAUAAACCUAAACUCCAAUUGGAUGUCAAUAUCAAUGGUCAGCCUUGCGGACCAUCAGGCACUAAAUUUGCUAAUUUCAUUGGAACACUUGUGAGGACAAAGGGUUUCCCAAUUGCACAUGAUGAUUGGAGGAAGGUCUGUCCACGCCAAAAGUAUAAGCUUUGGACAGAUGCAAAGCUAUAUUGGCAACUAGAUAGAGGUGUCUUCCAUUGGUUUAUGAAGACAGCAGCUACAAAGUGGAAGGAGUUUAAAGCAGAAUUGAAAAAGGUGUAUGAUGAUGACAUGGAAGAUGAUGAACUGUAUGCUCUCUGCGAUCCAAGAGUUCAUAUGGAUGACUGGAAGUGGCUAGUUAAUCAUUGGAGGACUCCAGAGGCAGCUGUAAGUUACAAAUUGCUUGCCCAUUUUCAUAAUGUAUAUGGUGGAGAAACAAAUUGCUUGAUAAACAUGACAUAAUUUGGUAUGCCCGUUCUUUGAGGGGGAAAGCAAAUCGUUCAAAGCUGACCCAAAACCAUACAACUGGAAGUAAGAGCCAUGCACGUGUUGGUACUGAAAUGUGUGAGGAGCUAGGGCGCCCCCCUCGUAGAGAUGAGUUAUUUAUCAAAACUCACACACACAAGAAUGGAGUACCUCAUAGAGGAGCUGCAACAACAAUUAAUGCCCUCCAAGAUGCAAUUAGGGAUAAUCCUGAAUUGAGAGACAAGAGUAUCCAGGAAGGUGAUGAUUAUUCCUAUGUUUGUGGGACAGAGAGGAAUGGAUAUGUUCGUGUUGUGGGUUUGGGGCCAAGUCCAGCAGAUUUGGACAUGCCUGGGGCUAGGAAAUGCCCAUCAACAAGGCUUCAAAUGGAGAUAGAAGCUCGUCGGGAAUCUGAUAGGAAGGUGGAAGAUCUAUCAAGUCGUCUAGAAAUUAUUCAGCAAACUCUGGAUAGAUUGUUGCAGCAACAAAAUGCCAAUAGCACUCCCCAUGGAUCUAAUAAUGAACCACAGAUCUUGAGGGCUGCACCAACCUAUCAUGAUGAAGUACACGAAGAAGAUGAAGAACAAGAUGCUAGAUCAUCGGCAGGGGAUGAUAUGGCUAAUAUGAACAUAGAAGACGAGGAUGACUUUCAAAGUAGAUGAGUGGUCCGUCAAGAGGAGCAACAUAGUGAGGGUGGUAGAGAUGUGAUACUAUAUAAUAUAGUAAGGCCCUAUGAAGUCCCUGUGGCAAAGGCUACCAUUCAAACAAAAAACCCAAGGGCUAUUGUUGGGGGUACUGCUCUUGGCGUGGAGUACUGUGAAGUGGUUGUGAACCAUGUGUUUAACCGGAACGCGGUACUACCUCGUCCAUAUGAAGGGGUCACCACCAUUCUAGAGGCUCGUGGGAGAUGUAUUGCAUGGCCACAUGACAGAAUGAGGGAUGACAAGUCACCUCGGCACUCAAAAGGCAGUGGCACUAGAAGGACAUCACAGCUUGAAGGUACUUAAGCUAUGUGGUGUUGCAAAUAUUUUGGACUGGGCAACCUUUUGAGCUUUGAUCAGAGAGCUCUUUUAUGUUCUCUAGAGUGGCAGCAACCAUAUGUGCACCAAGUUAGUGUUCAAGUAUUUUGGAGUGGCAACAAGUGUCCGAGAAAUGCAAAUGUUGCAUGAAGACAUGAAUUGCAGUUCUGUUCUUUUGUUUACACCUACUAGGCUACUAUUUGUAGGCCAAAAACAUAUGGAAGUGUUGAAUGCCACUUUUGCCGGUUGCGCCCAAGUCAUGAUCUAUUGAUCUCUUAGCUUUAGCCAUAACCAGUUAGUAUGUAAGACUUAGUAUAUGCUUAUAUAUAAGCCUGCUAGAGACUAAUCUACAUCCUGGACCUCUAUGUAUGGUUGCAUGUACUAUGAUCAUCACUUGACCUAUAUAUGUAUGCCUCUAUGUACCAUGA